rnacentral:rRNA from 1 species
UACGUAGGGUGCAAGCGUUGUCCGGAAUUAUUGGGCGUAAAGAGCUCGUAGGCGGUUCGUCGCGUCGGCUGUGAAAUCCCGAGGCUCAACCUCGGGUCUGCAGUCGAUACGGGCGGACUGGAGUUCGGCAGGGGAGACUGGAAUUCCUGGUGUAGCGGUGAAAUGCGCAGAUAUCAGGGGGAACACCGGUGGCGAAGGCGGCAGUCCUGGACCGGUAUUGACGCUGAGGCGCGAAAGCCAGGGGAGCAAACGGG